rnacentral:rRNA from 1 species
AUUGAACGCUGGCGGCAGGCCUAACACAUGCAAGUCGAGCGGCAGCGGAAGGAAGCUUGCUUCCUUGCCGGCGAGCGGCGGACGGGUGAGUAAGGUAUGGGGAUCUGGCCGAAGGCGGGGGAUAACCACUGGAAACGGUGGCUAAUACCGCAUAAUCUCUAAGGAGCAAAGUGGGGGACCGUUCAGGACUCACACCGUCGGAUGAACCCAGAUGAUAUUAGCUCGUAGGUGGGGUAAUGGCUCACCUAGGCGACGAUCUCUAGCUGGUCUGGGAGGAUGAGCAGCCACACUGGGACUGAGACACGGCCCAGACUCCUACGGGAGGCAGCAGUGGGGAAUAUUGCACAAUGGGCGCAGGCCUGAUGCAGCCAUGCCGCGUGUAUGAAGAAGGCCUUCGGGUUGUAAAGUACUUUCAGUCGUGAGGAAGGUGUUAAGGUUAAUAACCUUAGCAAUUGACGUUAGCGACAGAAGAAGCACCGGCUAACUCCGUGCCAGCCGCCGCAGUAA